rnacentral:rRNA from 1 species
CGUACACUCCUGCGGGAGGCAGCAGUGGGGAAUAUUAGACAAUGGGCGCAAGCCUGAUCCAGCCAUGCCGCGUGAGUGAUGAAGGCCCUAGGGUUGUAAAGCUCUUUCACCGGUGAAGAUAAUGACGGUAACCGGAGAAGAAGCCCCGGCUAACUUCGUGCCAGCAGCCGCGGUAAUACGAAGGGGGCUAGCGUUGUUCGGAUUUACUGGGCGUAAAGCGCACGUAGGCGGACUAUUAAGUCAGGGGUGAAAUCCCGGGGCUCAACCCCGGAACUGCCUUUGAUACUGGUAGUCUUGAGUUCGAGAGAGGUGAGUGGAAUUCCGAGUGUAGAGGUGAAAUUCGUAGAUAUUCGGAGGAACACCAGUGGCGAAGGCGGCUCACUGGCUCGAUACUGACGCUGAGGUGCGAAAGCGUGGGGAGCAAACGGGAUUAGAAACCCGUGUAGUCCC